rnacentral:rRNA from 1 species
CGAACCCGGAGAUAGCUGGUUCUCCCCGAAAUAGCUUUAGGGCUAGCCUCAGGGGAAGUCUAACGGAGGUAAAGCACUGAAUGGGCUAGGGGCCUUACCGGGUUACCGAACCCUAUCAAACUCAGAAUGCCGUAUAGAUAAUACCUGGGAGUCAGACUGCGAGAGAUAAGUUCCGUAGUCAAAAGGGAAAAAGCCCAGACCAACAGCUAAGGUCCCAAAAUCACGAUUAAGUGGGAAAGGAUGUGGGCUUGCUAAGACAGCUAGGAUGUUGGCUUAGAAGCAGCCACUCAUUCAAAGAGUGCGUAAUAGCUCACUAGUCGAGUGAGCCUGCGCCGAAAAUAACCGGGGCUAAAUCGUGUACCGAAGCUAUGGAUGCGUAUAUGUUUACUGGUGGAACCGACCGUAGGAAGCGGGGGUAUUUAGCAGGAAAACAACCUUGAAAAUUCAAAGGGAGUUUUCCGACAAAUUACCUCUCGGCUAAACGUGUAGAGGUCGGAAUCAGCAGUAAACAUAUACGCGUGGUAGGGGAGCUUACCGUAGUAGGCAGAAGGCCGACCGGAAGGACGGCUGGACGAGGCGGUAGUGAGAAUGCCGGAAUAAGUAGCGAGAGUAAAGUGAGAAUCUUUACCGUCGAAAACCUGAGGAUUCCUGGGGAAGGUUCGUCCGCCCAGGGUAAGUCGGGGCCUAAGGCGAGGCCGAAAGGCGUAGUCGAUGGGGAACAGGUUGAAAUUCCUGUACUGCCGAUGCUCAAUUGAGAGAAGUGGGGACGCAGGAGGAUAAGUUAAGCGAGCAGCUGGAAGAGCUCGCCCAAGGGAAAAAGACAGUCCGGCAGGAAAAGCCGCCGGAUGGUUCAAAAGCCUGAUGGGGAGGGAAAUUAGAGUACCGAAGUAACUGAUUCCACACUGACGAGAAAAGCCACUAUCGAGAGCAGAGGUACCCGUACCGCAAACCGACACAGGUAGGUGAGGAGAGAAUCCUAAGACGAGCGGGAGAAGCGUUGUUAAGGAACUCGGCAAAUUAACCCCGUAAGUUCGCGAGAAGGGGUGCCUCGAAAGAGGCCGCAGUGAAAAGGCCCAAGCAACUGUUUAUCAAAAACACAGGUCUCUGCUAAAUCGAAAGAUGACGUAUAGGGGCUGACGCCUGCCCGGUGCUGGAAGGUUACGGGGAAUUGUUAACUGAAAAGUGAAGCAAUGAACUUAAGCCCCAGUAAACGGCGGCCGUAACUAUAACGGUCCUAAGGUAGCGAAAUUCCUUGUCAGGUAAGUUCUGACCCGCACGAAUGGCGUAAUGACUUGGGCACUGUCUCGACAACGUACCCGGCGAAAUUGUAGUACUUGUGAAGAUGCAAGUUACCCGCGGCUAGACGGAAAGACCCCAUGGAGCUUUACUGCAGCCUGAUACUGGGUUUCGGUAUUCUUUGUACAGGAUAGGUGGGAGACUGAGAGGCGUAGGCGUCAGUUUACGCGGAGUCGACGUUGGGAUACCACUCUAAGAGUACUGGAACUCUAACCAGAGACCAUAAGCUGGUUUUGGGACACUGUCAGGCGGGCAGUUUGACUGGGGCGGUCGCCUCCCAAAGAGUAACGGAGGCGUCCAAAGGUUACCUCAGCGCGGAUGGAAAUCGCGCAUUGAGUGCAAAGGCAUAAGGUAGCCUGACUGUGAGAGAGACAACUCGAGCAGAUACGAAAGUAGGGCUUAGUGAUCCGGUGGUAUGAAAGUGGAAUUGCCAUCGCUCAACGGAUAAAAGCUACCCUGGGGAUAACAGGCUUAUCUCCCCCA